rnacentral:rRNA from 1 species
GUGGGGAAUUUUGGACAAUGGGCGCAAGCCUGAUCCAGCAAUGCCGCGUGCAGGAAGAAGGCCUUCGGGUUGUAAACUGCUUUUGUACGGAACGAAACGGUCCGGGUUAAUACCCUGGGCUAAUGACGGUACCGUAAGAAUAAGCACCGGCUAACUACGUGCCAGCAGCCGCGGUAAUACGUAGGGUGCAAGCGUUAAUCGGAAUUACUGGGCGUAAAGCGUGCGCAGGCGGUUUUGUAAGACAGGCGUGAAAUCCCCGGGCUCAACCUGGGAAUUGCGCUUGUGACUGCAAGGCCGGAGUGCGGCAGAGGGGGAUGGAAUUCCGCGUGUAGCAGUGAAAUGCGUAGAUAUGCGGAGGAACACCGAUGGCGAAGGCAAUCCCCUGGGCCUGCACUGACGCUCAUGCACGAAAGCGUGGGGAGCAAACAGGAUUAGAUACCCUUGUAGUCC